CUUUACUGUAGCUUUGUAUUGGACUUUGAACAGAUCUGUGUAGGAUAGGUGGGAGGCUUUGAAGCGUGGUCGCUAGAUCAUGUGGAGCCAACGUUGAAAUACCACCCUGGUGUGUUUGAGGUUCUAACCUAGGUCCAUUAUCUGGAUCGGGGACAGUGCAUGGUAGGCAGUUUGACUGGGGCGGUCUCCUCCCAAAGCGUAACGGAGGAGUUCGAAGGUACGCUAGUUACGGUCGGACAUCGUGACGAUAGUGCAAUGGCAUAAGCGUGCUUAACUGCGAGACUGACAAGUCGAGCAGAUGCGAAAGCAGGACAUAGUGAUCCGGUGGUUCUGUAUGGAAGGGCCAUCGCUCAACGGAUAAAAGGUA
rnacentral:rRNA from 1 species